rnacentral:tRNA from 1 species
AAGAUGUAGCAUAAAUUAAAUGCAUUUCAUUUACACUGAAAACAUACUUAACACAAGUCGUCUUUA